ensembl:lncRNA
UUUAGUUCAAGACAUCAAGAUCCAGAAAAGAAAAAGACAUAAAUCUGUCAAAAAAGCAGCAAAAACGUAGACAGAAACAGGAAGAAACAAAGAAAAGAAACAACACAAAACCCUCUUCUACUGGUUCCUAACUUGCAAUGCAUUCAUCAGCUUUUACAAGCAAUUGCAUUGGUUUUAGAAGAUGUGAACAGACCAGUAAAAGUUGUGCUCUCUAGCUUUUAUCUGUGCUCAACAUAUGUAAAUCAAAAGCAUAAGGUUUCUGAGGUCGUCAAUGGAUUCUUUCAGCCAGAGAAGUGACUGGAGCAGAUGCGUGACAUGAGAAUAGAACAGAAUAGUCUACUGGAACAUCAACUUAUUAAAAAAAAAAGAGAGAGAGAGCAAAAAAGAAAAAGAAAUAUAAACUUUAAUAUAUAAACUACUGUACUAUAUUUUUCUUAUUUUAAAUUGUAUAAUAUUACUGGAAUGUCAUCCAAUACACUUUAUAAGGUCUAUGAAAGUGGAUACAUUAUCAGGUAGCACAUGUCUUGCAUUUAGAUGUAGAACAUAUCAUAAUUGACUCUUCUAAAGCAUAUAUAAAGCAUAUAUACUCAUCAAAUCUUACUCAAUUAAUGGGAGUUAAAAGAGUAAAAAGCAUGUUUGUUUACAUUUACAUGGAUAUUUACAUAUAUUCACUCUGCAGUUUGUUUGACAAAAGGACUUAACAAAUGAGGACAAAAAGGAAAAUAAAUAUUUUACAACUCCGAUUCCCCAAAAGUUGUAAAUGCAAUAAAAAUCAAGAAUCUGUGAUUUGUUAAUUCUCUUUAACCUUUAUUUAACUGAUAAAAGUACAUAGAAA